AUUUUAUACCUUUUUUACUCCUGUUAACCUGCGAAAUUUUUCAUCAUCUAACUCUUCUGCUAUUUUCACCUUUUCCCUCACUCAAAACCCACCAUUUUACUCUCUUUUUAACUUUAUUCUAGUUUCGAAAGAGGUUCAUUGACGCAAGAGUCUGGAAUCCUUCAUUUCAUUAAAUUUAGCAUAAGCUCAGUUUGCUUGUAAAUUUUUCUGGAUG